GGAAGAACUGUAGCUCAAUGGUAGAGUAUCUGCCUUGCAUGCAAAGGGUUUGAGUCUCAAUCCUUGGCACCUCCA